AGUGGCGAACGGGUGAGUAACACGUGAGUAACCUGCCCUUGACUCUGGGAUAAGCCUGGGAAACUGGGUCUAAUACCGGAUAUGACUGAUCAUCGCAUGGUGGUUGGUGGAAAGCUUUUGCGGUUUUGGAUGGACUCGCGGCAUAUCAGCUUGUUGGUGGGGUAAUGGCCUACCAAGGCGACGACGGGUAGCCGGCCUGAGAGGGUGACCGGCCACACUGGGACUGAGACACGGCCCAGACUCCUACGGGAGGCAGCAGUGGGGAAUAUUGCACAAUGGGCGGAAGCCUGAUGCAGCGACGCCGCGUGAGGGAUGACGGCCUUCGGGUUGUAAACCUCUUUCAGUAGGGAAGAAGCGUAAGUGAUGGUACCUGCAGAAGAAGCGCCGGCUAACUACGUGCCAGCAGCCGCGGUAAUACGUAGGGCGCAAGCGUUAUCCGGAAUUAUUGGGCGUAAAGAGCUCGUAGGCGGUUUGUCGCGUCUGCCGUGAAUCCGGGGCUCAACUCCGGAUCUGCGGUGGGUACGGGCAGACUAGAGUGAUGUAGGGGAGACUGGAAUUCCUGGUGUAGCGGUGAAAUGCGCAGAUAUCAGGAGGAACACCGAUGGCGAAGGCAGGUCUCUGGGCAUUAACUGACGCUGAGGAGCGAAAGCAUGGGGAGCG
rnacentral:rRNA from 1 species